rnacentral:rRNA from 1 species
AAUUCGAUGAUACGCGAGGAACCUUACCUGGGCUUAAAUGUAGAGUGCAUUCCGCGAAAGGUGGAUUUCCUUCGGGACUCUUUGCAAGGUGCUGCAUGGUUGUCGUCAGCUCGUGCCGUGAGGUGUCGGGUUAAGUCCCAUAACAAGCGCAACCCUUAUCGUUAGUUGCCAGCGGGUAAUGCCGGGGAACUCUAACGAAACUGCCGGUGUAAACCGUGAGGAAGUGGGAUGACGUCAAAUCAGCACGGCCCUUAUGUCCAGGGCUACACACGUACUACAAUGGCCGGUACAAAGGGCAGCCACUCAGCGAUGAGGCGCUAAUCCCAUAAAGCCGGUCUCAGUCCGGAUCGCAGUCUGCAACUCGACUGCGUGAAGUUGGAAUCGCUAGUAAUCGUAGAUCAGCAUGCUACGGUGAAUACGUUCCCGGGCCUU